ensembl:rRNA 5S_rRNA 5S ribosomal RNA
CCCUACUUUCCCCAUUUUAGAAAAUAGUUCUGUCUGAUCUCGGAAGCUAAGCAGGGUUGGGCCUGGUUAGUACUUGGAUGGGAGACCACCUAGGAAGACCAGGUGCUGUAGGCA